rnacentral:rRNA from 1 species
UACGAAGGGGGCUAGCGUUGCUCGGAAUCACUGGGCGUAAAGCGCACGUAGGCGGAUCUUUAAGUCAGAGGUGAAAUCCCAAGGCUCAACCUUGGAACUGCCUUUGAUACUGGGGAUCUCGAGUCCGGAAGAGGUGAGUGGAACUGCGAGUGUAGAGGUGAAAUUCGUAGAUAUUCGCAAGAACACCAGUGGCGAAGGCGGCUCACUGGUCCGGUACUGACGCUGAGGUGCGAAAGCGUGGGGAGCGAACAGG